GGCUGCAGUGAGCCGAGGCUGCACCACUGCACUCCAGCCUGGGUGGCACAGCAAGACUCUGUCAAAAAACAAAACAAAACAACAAACCAGUAAACAAAACCAAAGUUGGGUGCAGUGGCUCACAUUUGUAAUCCCAGCAACUCAGAAGGCUCAUCAGGCAGGAUAGCUUGAGGCCAGGAGUUCAAGACCAGCCUGGGCAACAUAGUGAGACCCUCCACCUCUGAUAAAAUUAAAUAUUAAUAAAAAUAAAAUAAAAAGGAACUCUAGUAUCUUCAGUCUUUGAUUCUUCAUCCCUCAUUUUAUCCCCUUGUCUUCUGGCAAUAGAAUUUCCUUCUUCUUUUACUUUUGGGAUGAGCCACCUGGGAUUCUGCUUGGAUUGAGUUACCGCCUUCCAGGCUCAAGCGAUUCUCCCACCUCAGCCUGCCAAGUAGCUGGGACCACAGGCGCAUGCCCCCCUUCCUGGCUGACUUGUUGUAGAGCCAGGGUUUUGCCACGUUGCCCAGGAGUUUUUCCUUUAACGUGCUCCUGCUACUUACUAUCUCUCUGCUCUCAUGUGCUCUUAUGCGAGCUCAUGAGAGCAGAGAGAUAGCAACAGGAGCUAAGAAACUCUAAUCUGUGAAAAAAUAUUAAAUAUGAAAUCGUGAUAGCUAUUAGCAAUCCCAGAUCCAGGCCGGAGAGCCAAGGGUCAUCACUUUUUACAACAAGCUCUAAAAUCUUCCACAUAUACCAUGACCAAGGCACAUCAAAACAACCCAAGGCUCCUCACGCCUCCACUUUUAUCAGCCUGGGCCCAAGAUAGCUGCGCAUUGAAUAGUCAAUUUUGGGGGCUGGUGGAAAUAACUUACCAUGAGUAUCUGUCCUAAAAUAUACUCCAAGCCACAUGACCCAUGUCUGGCAUUCAAUAGUGCCGGUGGCGUUCUUUAGGGUUGAUCAUAGCUCUAAGUGGUUCUCCUUUAAAGAGCACAGUCUCCUGGGAAAGGUGACCAUUAAGCAGAACAUCUAGGGCCGAUCUUGCUUUUGCCCUGAUGAGAGGGGCCAAGGGGCUUUGUAGAGCAGCAGAGGCUGUGACGGUGAACCUUACUGUUUUUAAAAUUGUUCUUAAGAGGCCAGGUGCAUUGGCUCACACCUGUAGUCCCAGGACUUUGAGGAGCAGAAGCAGAAGGAUUGUCUGAGUCUGGGAGUUCAAGAUUAGACUGAGCAACUCAGGGAGACCUCAUCUCUACAAGAAAUUUAAAGAAAAUUAAUCAGGCACGGUGGCACAUGCCUAUGGUCCCAGCUACUCGGGAGGCUGAGGUGGGAGAAUCACCUGAGCCCAGAAGGUUGAGGUUUGCAGUGAGCCGAGCUCACACCACUGUGCUCCAGCUUGGAUGACAGAAUGAGACUGUCUCAAAAAAAAAAAAAAAAAUUGUCCUCAAGUCUAUGUGGAUCCCUGACUAGGUUUGUGCCCUAGACAGACUUCUCUGAGGUUAUUUCAGGUGGUGAGACUCUUUCCAACUUUAUAACCCCUGUCUUCUGGAGGUCCCUUUGGGUGGCAGUAGAUAUGGGAUUUGGUGUCUGACAGACCUGGGGACAGAUCCCAGCUCCAAAUGGCAGUCUCUUUACAGCUUACAGGGCAAAUACUUGGCACUAUGUGCUGAUCUUUAGGAAGUCAGUCUGUAUUUCAUAACGAGUCACAUGCGGAUAAUGAAGGCACGGCCUAAAAUGCUCUUAUUCAUAUUCCUGAGUCAUCCCUGAGGGCCAGGCUUGGUGUUAGGCAUGGGGCGGGGGAAGGGAGCAGGGCUGUGUGCAGAGGAGGAUGCGAUUCUUGCCUUGUCAGGGUUCCUGACCCGAUGGCGACCCGGGGUGGAGUCUUCAUAGUGACAGACACCACUGCAAGAGCAGACUCAGGCUAUGCAACCCCCAGAGCAGGGCUCCUCACUCACCGGGAUAGAUAGAACCAUUGGCCCUAAUUCCUCAGCCCUCCCUGCACCCUCCGCUUGCAUGGUUUUGUGCUGGGUGGAGGGUACUUUCUGCCCCCUAGCUUGGGGCUUGCCCACGUGGCUUGCUUUGGCCAUGGAAUGAAGCAGAAACGAAAGCCUGCCGGUUCCGAGCCCGCGGCCUGAAGACGCCUCAGGCGGUUCCGCCGCCCCCGUGCGCUUCCCCCUUCACCCAGAAGCCCUUCUCUGGUGCAGCCGCUGCUUCCUCAGCCGCGGCCCAGAAGGAACGGCCCCUGGCCAAUCCGCAGGCCUGCAGGGAGCCGCAGAGCGCAGCAGCCGGCCCAGCGUUCAAGCCGAAGCCCAGGACUGCGAGAACCUUAUUCUAGCCGCCGUUCUGGACGGUGGAUUAGGACGCGUUGCUGUGGCAGAAGCUCAGUGCAUGCACCCGCUCCUUCAUUAGGCUAUAGGGCCAGCGGCUGCGACAGGGACCUGAUACAACAGUGCGUUAAAUAAGGAGCUUAUUGAGCUCUCCUGCCGUAAGGCGGUGGAGAAGUCCAGGGCCAGUGUGGGGGCUCCGGCCGGGGCUGCGGCCCAUCCGCGUGGAACCUCACUCUGGUUCGCAGGUUGCGGUUUUAGGAGCCUUCAGCCUGGCGAGCCCCAAACGGUCCACAGGGCGGCGCCAGACCCUCUUCCCAGCGCCACCUCUAAAGCCUUGGCUCCAACCAGUUCCGCUUCUGCUUCAGGCUCGGGAUUUUCACUCUUCUCAAAUGGGGGUGGCCCUCUCCCGAUCUUCUGAGUCGCAACACCAUCUCUUUCCUCCAGGACCUCAGAGCCAGAGCUAGGCGAGGUCCUGACCUCCAGGGUCGGGGUGGCGUCCCUGUGAAGAUGCGGUCCUUCCUCCCGUCCCCAGGCUCCCGGCCUCUCCCACCCUCAGCCCCCUGCUCACUUCCAGCUGAAGACGCCGGCGCACCUCUGCUCCCUUCCCGCUCUCUCUGCAGUACCGCAGAGUGAGCACACAAGGGCUUAAUAGAGGCUUUGCUGGGCGCGGGGCUCCCGUCUGUAAUCCCAGUACUUUGGGAGACCAAGGCGGGAGGAUCACUUGAGGCCGGGAGUUCAAAACCAGCCUGGGGAAAAAAGUGAGGCCCAUCU